AGAGUUUGAUCCUGGCUCAGAUUGAACGCUGGCGGCAGGCUUAACACAUGCAAGUCGAGCGGGGAAGGGUAGCUUGCUACCUGACCUAGCGGCGGACGGGUGAGUAAUGCUUAGGAAUCUGCCUAUUAGUGGGGGACAACAUUCCGAAAGGAAUGCUAAUACCGCAUACGCCCUACGGGGGAAAGCAGGGGAUCUUCGGACCUUGCGCUAAUAGAUGAGCCUAAGUCAGAUUAGCUAGUUGGUGGGGUAAAGGCCUACCAAGGCGACGAUCUGUAGCGGGUCUGAGAGGAUGAUCCGCCACACUGGGACUGAGACACGGCCCAGACUCCUACGGGAGGCAGCAGUGGGGAAUAUUGGACAAUGGGCGAAAGCCUGAUCCAGCCAUGCCGCGUGUGUGAAGAAGGCCUUUUGGUUGUAAAGCACUUUAAGCGAGGAGGAGGCUACUUGGAUUAAUACUCUAGGAUAGUGGACGUUACUCGCAGAAUAAGCACCGGCUAACUCUGUGCCAGCAGCCGCGGUAAUACAGAGGGUGCGAGCGUUAAUCGGAUUUACUGGGCGUAAAGCGUGCGUAGGCGGCUUUUUAAGUCGGAUGUGAAAUCCCUGAGCUUAACUUAGGAAUUGCAUUCGAUACUGGGAAGCUAGAGUAUGGGAGAGGAUGGUAGAAUUCCAGGUGUAGCGGUGAAAUGCGUAGAGAUCUGGAGGAAUACCGACGGCGAAAGCAGCCACCUGGCCUAAUACUGACGCUGAGGUACGAAAGCAUGGGGAGCAAACAGGAUUAGAUACCCUGGUAGUCCAUGCCGUAAACGAUGUCUACUAGCCGUUGGGGCCUUUGAGGCUUUAGUGGCGCAGCUAACGCGAUAAGUAGACCGCCUGGGGAGUACGUCGCAGACUAAAACUCAAA
rnacentral:rRNA from 1 species